rnacentral:lncRNA from 1 species
GAUUGAAAAACAAGUGAAACUGCGAGCUACUGCUCACUGAUGAUACCCCCGCCGCAAGUGGAUAAUAUUAAUAGUGUAAAAAUAUGCAAGUGUUCGGUAAACAGGAAGUUGUCGAGUGAUGAAUCUGAAAACGCAUCACACGGUAUAGCUGACUUAUAUAAAUCCUGAAACCAAAUUUCAGAAAUCCUUGUAUUGUAGUUCCUGAGAAAAAUGCGACGAAAAUUUUCAACUUGGCUAUCAUGUGUAAAAUCAUACAAGUGUUCGGUAAACAGGAAGUUGUCGAGUGAUCAAUCUGAAAACGCAUCACACGGUAUAGCUGACUUAG